rnacentral:ncRNA from 1 species
UAUACAUGAAUAUAGGUUUCUCGUAUAUGUGCAGGAAUCGGCCUGCAUGUCUCUACCCGAUCACCGGAAUGAUCGGACUACGGGAUGAACGAUAUGUUUC